rnacentral:rRNA from 1 species
GGACAAUGGGCGAAAGCCUGAUCCAGCCAUGCCGCGUGUCUGAAGAAGGCCUUCGGGUUGUAAAGGACUUUUGUCAGGGAGGAAAUCCCUAGCGUUAAUACCGCUGGGGGAUGACAGUACCUGAAGAAUAAGCACCGGCUAACUACGUGCCAGCAGCCGCGGUAAUACGUAGGGUGCGAGCGUUAAUCGGAAUUACUGGGCGUAAAGCGUGCGCAGGCGGUUUGAUAAGCCAGAUGUGAAAUCCCCGAGCUCAACUUGGGAACUGCGUUUGGAACUGUCAGACUAGAGUGCGUCAGAGGGGGGUGGAAUUCCGCGUGUAGCAGUGAAAUGCGUAGAGAUGCGGAGGAACACCGAUGGCGAAGGCAGCCCCCUGGGAUGACACUGACGCUCAUGCACGAAAGCGUGGGGAGCAAACAGGAUUAGAUACCCUGGUAGUCCACGCCCUAAACGAUGUCAAUUAGCUGUUGGGGGUUAGAAUCCCUGGUAGCGUAGCUAACGCGUGAAAUUGACCNCCUGGGGAGUACGGCCGCAAGGUUA